rnacentral:sRNA from 1 species
AUUGGUAUUCAACUCAAACCCAUCACAAGCUAGUUGAAUGUGUAGUUUAGAGAUGAAUGUUGAACGCUUUCAAACCGACUAAUUCUACAUAAACAACUUUGAACUAAAAUGGAAAUAGAUCCAGAAGUCCAAUCGACCGGAGAUAGAAAAGUUUACGAGCCUGAAAGCCACUGGUAUACCUUGAACCACACCAGCCACAAUGACGACAAGUUCUACGAGAAUUUCACUAUUUAUCAUAAUGCGUAAGUUAAAAGUUGGAGGACUGUGCCUGUAUGUAUGUGUUUGCGUAAGUGUGCGUCUGCUAGGCGUAUGUGGUGAGUCAGUGCAUUGAGCUUUAUAUAGAAAGUAUAGAGAUAUAUGAUUCAGCAGAG